rnacentral:lncRNA from 1 species
AUAUAUUUCUUUCCUCUCUUUUUGAAGCUUUUACUUGCUGCUCACUUUGGGCUAUUUUUCUUUUCCUGUUAUCUAUUUUUGUUUUGUUUUGUUUUGUUUUAAUUUAUAUACAAUGAAACUGACAGCAAGGUAUGACAAGGACUGCAUUUUUACCAGCUGAUUGUAGACUGGCUACUAUAGACAGAUGUGUGGAGGGA